rnacentral:rRNA from 1 species
UAAUACGUAGGGUGCGAGCGUUGUCCGGAAUUAUUGGGCGUAAAGAGCUCGUAGGCGGUUUGUCGCGUCUAUCGUGAAAACUGGAGGCUCAACCUUCAGCGUGCGGUGGAUACGGGCAGACUUGAGUUCGGUAGGGGAGACUGGAAUUCCUGGUGUAGCGGAGAAAUGCGCAGAUAUCAGGAGGAACACCGGUGGCGAAGGCGGGUCUCUGGGCCGAUACUGACGCUGAGGAGCGAAAGCGUGGGGAGCGAACAGGA